rnacentral:rRNA from 1 species
UAUUUCGCAAUGGGGGGAACCCUGACGCAGCAACGCCGCGCGAAGGAGGAAGUAUUUCGGUAUGUAAACUUCUAUCAGCAGGGAAGGAGGAAGUGACGGUACCUGGAUAAGAAGCCACGGCUAAUUACGUGCCAGCAGCCGCGGUAAUACGUAAGGGGCAAGCGUUAUCCGGAUUUACUGGGUGUAAAGGGUGGGUAGGCGGUUCGGCAAGUCAUAUGUGAAAUACCUGGGCUCAACCCAGGAACCGCAUAAGAAACUGUCGGACUUGAGUACAGGAGAGGUAAGCGGAAUUCCCAGUGUAGCGGUGAAAUGCGUAGAUAUUGGGAAGAACACCGGUGGCGAAGGCGGCUUACUGGACUGAAACUGACGCUGAGUCACGAAAGCGUGGGGAGCGAACAGGA